ensembl:lncRNA LINC01608 long intergenic non-protein coding RNA 1608
AUUCUGUUCAAAAGAGGAUUUGUUUGUGAUAUUCCUUUAAGAAUCUUUAUUUAUUCCCCCAACAGUUUCUUUUUCUGCAUCCGCUGCUCUGUUAAGUGAUCACCACAUUCAUUGUUCUCGUUUCUAUUAUUUCUGAAAAAAAUCUUCAGGAUUCUGCUUGUGGGAGUGGAUGACAUUUUUACAGUGUUUACAGGCUGAAAAUUUUUCGAGCUUUUAUGCUCUGCUUCCGUUAUAAGGAGGAGGCCUCACAAUCCUGGUGGAAGGCAAGGAGGAGCAAGUCACAUCUUAUGUGGAUGGCAGCAGGCAAAGAAAGCUUAUGCAGACACAAAAUGAACAAGAUGUCUGUGGCAACCCUCAGACCAUUGACGCCUUCUCUCCUAUGUAUCAAAUCACACAUUUGGACGUUGACUGAACCCUCACAUGUCAGAUGCUCAAUAUUGAGGUAUAGUAAAAGGGAGCAUGAACUUGAGAAAAUACGCUUUCAACACAAAGCUGUAAUAAUAUAAGGUCAAAUAAGAUUCUGCAUUGGAGAUAGAAAACUCUGAAGGAAGCUUUAUCUAUUCCAGAAUGUCAUAUAGCUGGUAUAAGAAAGAACACUAAUCAUUCCUAAGGAAGAAAAUUAACAACGCCGUGAGUUAUAAUAUCUGGCUGAAACUGAAGGAGCUCUGUGUAAUUAAAAGUCCUUUCUGCCCUGCCUGGCCAUGGUUCUGUAUGCAUUGAUGUCUUACAAACUGAAAAAAAAAAAAGUUAUUUUCUCAUCUCCAUUCCCUAGCAUAGACAUAUUACAUGAUGUGGAAUUGAAACAAGAAAAUUGCAUUUUAAUCUUCCACUCAGAACAUAGAAGAAUGAAACAAACAAACAAAAAAUACUCUGUUGUCUUAGUCUACCACAAGCAAAAUCUGGCAGUCUCUUUGCUUUGGUAAUGGCAUAAAUUCCUUGAUUAGCCUAUAGGAUAGCCCAUUGUUCUGCUCUUUUAGUGGAAUAGCUAGCAAUUGCUUUGUCAUUUUUUCCCCAUGGUUCCUACCAUUAGUGUUGGGAGGUUUCUUCUUUGUUUUUUUGAGAAAGAGGAAAAAGUUGUUAUAUUUUCAUAAAAACUUAAAUUUCAUCCAAAAUACUUGAUUUUCAUGAAGAAAGUAAAUAUCUCUGCCCCUAGUAUACAUGUGUGGAAACUUUCAGAACCCUGAAGAUAAAUACAUUUCAAACAAGUGAGUUUGAAAAUAUCAAUAGCAAAAUAGGAAGUAAGCUAAUUAGAGAGGUAAGAACUAGAUGGCUUAGCAUUCCAAUAAUAAUAUAUAACCUUCUUUAAGAGUAAAAUCUUGGUCAAAAGACAGAUGAAAACUCCAAUAAAAUUUCACAACUCAUGGAAAAGUCUAUCUUCGUAAUUCUUUAUGAAGCAAACUAUAUAUAUAUAAAACAUAUAUAUAUAUAUAUUUGAGACAGAGUUUCGCUCUUGUUGCCCAGGCUGGAGUGCAGUGGUGCGAUCUUGGCUCAUGGCAGCCUCUGUCUCCCGGGUUCAAGUGAUUCUCCUGACACAGCCUUGUAAGUGGUUGGGAUUACAGGUGUGUGCUAUCAUGCCCGGCUAAUUCUGUAUUUUGAGUAGAGACGGGGGUUUCUCCACGUUGGUCAGGGUGGUCUCGAACUCCCGACCUCAGGUGAUACCCUCGCCUCGACCUCUCAGAAUGCUGGGAUUAGAGGCUUGAGCCACCACGCCUAGCUGCAAACAUAUUUCUUAUAUUUUCCAACAUCACAAAAUUUUACUGAGCUAUGAUAUGUACUAAAAGCUGAUAAAGAUGGUGUUGUUAUAUUUAACAGUACUCUGAAUUUUGUUGCCAUUUCUAAAAUUGUAUUCAGAGGAAAUUAUGCCCAUGUUUCUAUAGAGAGAAUUUUAAAAAAUACAUGAGCAUAGAAAUUUGAGCAACAUUGAUUAAGGUUCCAUAAAAUUGAAGCAGGAAAUAGUAUAGAAUAUACUUUUGCUCACUCUAUUAAAAUAAGUCUCUCAUAAGUAUGCUUCAGUUAAGUUCGAAGGGUAGGAAAAUUAACCUGGAACGGGGCAUUCAGAUAUAAGUAAGUUUAUUUUGGAGAAAUUUCUAUGUCAGCUGAGAUUAUUUUCUAUAAAAACAGAAGAAAGAUGAAUAUCACUAAUGAUAGCACAAACCACUAAUUAGAAGGCAG